GGGCUGACUGCUACUAGGGAAGGGUCUCUUUCUGGAGAUUUCUCAUUGGUGAAACUUUCUCCUUUAAGCCUAGGAUCUUCUGAUAUGGGGAUGAGAGCAGAUCUCUCAAGAGCACCGCAUUAGUAAAUUCUGCCUGCUUCUGCUGUACCAAGGCAAAAUUGUCUUGAAGCUUGCUCCAACUGUACUUACCUCUCAGUGCAGUUAUGGGUUGACAGUGGAGGUGAGGGCAUCUCUUGCUGAAGAUCCCUGCCUACCUGAGGCCUUCCUAAGAUAGAAUCAUGAGCUGCUGAAAGGCCUCAGUUGGAUCCAACCUGUUGGAUGAUAGUCCCACAAAUGGUCUCUGUAGAAAUGACUCUUGGGGAAAGCUACACACCUGAUCUCAUAUUUUUUUUCCUUUGCAAGGAUGUUUUGCCAAUUGGCAAGUUCAACAGGAAGAACAUAGACACCAACAAAAGGGAUAAGAUUAUUAUACUGUGUAUUUCAAAAUGAUACAGAAAUAAAGCAGUGCCUACAGUAAAAAGAUAAGCUUAACAGUAAAGAAAAUAAGUGGAGUAAUGCAUCUAAUUGUUACUACAUGAGGUUAGCAAAAGUGAUUAAGAAAGACACAUCAUCCAUUGCCCUAGUACUUUACUAUCAUCCACAGGUGCUGGAGAGCCCUGGUUGCAGUGCAGAUCAAUUGGGAACUCCUAUGGUGGUGUGUCCCCCCUGUAAGUGAGGUCUCCAAAGUUGCUGCAAGAAAGUCUUAUGGAAACAAAUCUACAUAACAGUCAGGUAGAACACCUGUUUUCCUCUU